GGGGCAGGGGGGAUUUCAAUAUCACAAGACAUUUCGGGAGGCUCAAUGUGGUGGAUAAUGUUUAAAGAAAAAUAACGUUUUGCAAAAAAGUGUCUAUGAUGGACAUGGGCUGUUAUCUCAAUCUUGCCGUUGUUUUGAAACAUCUGCAUCCGCGCGUGUGCAGUGUGUGUAUGCACGUGCAUGUGUGUGCGUGCGUGCGUGUGGGCAUGUAUGUGUGGUGUGUGUGUAUGCGGUGUCCUGCGCUGCCCUUUUCUUGAAACGUCUGCAUCAGCACGCCCGUGUGUGCAGUGUGCAUGCAGUGCGUGUGUGUUCGUGCACGUGAGUGUGUGUGUGUGUGUAUGCUGCGUUUAUGUGUGUGCGUGCGGUGUAUGUGUGCUAACUCUAUUAUUAUCACUAAAUCUAACAAAAACAAUAUUUAACAUUAUCAUUGCUAUUAAUACAAUCAAUGAUAUGAUUAUACUGUAUUGUUAUUCUGUUUAGGAGGAUAUGAUUGAGACUCACUGAAGCGCAGGGAGAUGAGGAGAAUACUCAGCAGUCCGAUGCUCACAAUGACAGUGAUGUGAAACCAUAGAGCUGUUCAGGGGGGCACCUACCAAAUCUUCUCUUCCUGGUCUCCUCCCGGUCCAAAGACGUGUCCUCAGGUUCCUCAGAGAGUCCAGGGUCCGGUUCAGAGAUGGUGACCAUUGUUACUCUCUGACGGCUUCCAUGGCGUCUGAAGUUAGCCUUCUUCUUUGCUCUACCAGCUGAAAAAACAACGUCACUUGUUUUCAUUCUGACCAAUUAUCAGCGUGCACUCCGAUACCAUCAGUUCCAGACUCCCUACGGUCUGCAGAAUCCCUCCCCGUCUUGAAGAAACACCUGAAGACAUCUACUGAGAACACCUCAUUACUCUGCUCCACGUAAAUAACGGACAUAUAACAUGAAACACACAACUACUUGAGAUGCCUAUCAAUAGUCCGUAACUCAUGGGCGUAAUCUAACGUCAAGUAAGGUAAAUACAAGCUUUUUGUCUGAAACACACACAUGUCGUUAUUUAGG
ensembl:lncRNA